AUUGAACGCUGGCGGCAGGCCUAACACAUGCAAGUCGAGCGGAUGAAGAGAGCUUGCUCUCUGAUCUAGCGGCGGACGGGUGAGUAAUGCCUAGGAAUCUGCCUGGUAGUGGGGGAUAACGUUCCGAAAGGAACGCUAAUACCGCAUACGUCCUACGGGAGAAAGCAGGGGACCUUCGGGCCUUGCGCUAUCAGAUGAGCCUAGGUCGGAUUAGCUAGUUGGUAAGGUAAUGGCUCACCAAGGCGACGAUCCGUAACUGGUCUGAGAGGAUGAUCAGUCACACUGGAACUGAGACACGGUCCAGACUCCUACGGGAGGCAGCAGUGGGGAAUAUUGGACAAUGGGCGAAAGCCUGAUCCAGCCAUGCCGCGUGUGUGAAGAAGGUCUUCGGAUUGUAAAGCACUUUAAGUUGGGAGGAAGGGCAUUAACCUAAUACGUUAGUGUUUUGACGUUACCAACAGAAGAAGCCCCGGCUAACUACGUGCCAGCAGCCGCCGUAAUAC
rnacentral:rRNA from 1 species